rnacentral:tRNA from 1 species
GAGGGUAGAGCUCAAUGGUUAGAGUACAUGCUUAGCAUGCUCGAGGUCCUGGGUUCAAUCCCCAGUAUCUCCA